UACGAAGGGGGCGAGCGUUGUUCGGAUUUACUGGGCGUAAAGGGCGCGUAGGCGGCCCUCCUUGUCGCGUGUGAAAGCCCCGGGCUCAACCUGGGAAUUGCGCGCGAAACGGGGGGGCUUGAGUUCUGGAGAGGAAGGCGGAAUUCUCGGUGUAGAGGUGAAAUUCGUAGAUAUCGAGAGGAACACCGGUGGCGAAGGCGGCCUUCUGGACAGUGACUGACGCUGAGACGCGAAAGCGUGGGGAGCAAACAGG
rnacentral:rRNA from 1 species